rnacentral:rRNA from 1 species
UAGUAACUGCGAGUGAACCGGGAAGAGCUCAAAUUUGUAAUCUGGCGGUCUUUCGAUCGUCCGAGUUGUAAUCUAGAGAAGUGCUACCUGCGCUGGACCGUGUACAAGUCUCCUGGAAUGGAGCAUCACAGAGGGUGAGAAUCCCGUCUUUGACAUGGACUGCCAGAGCUCAACAGGUGUGCUCUCGAAGAGUCGAGUUGUUUGGGAAUGCAGCUCAAAAUGGGUGGUAAAUGCCAUCUAAAGCUAAAUAUUGGCGAGAGACCGAUAGCGAACAAGUACCGUGAGGGAAAGAUGAAAAGAACUUUGGAAAGAGAGUUAAACAGUACGUGAAAUUGCUGAAAGGGAAACGCUUGAAGUCAGUCGCGUCGGUCGGAAAUCAACCUUGCUCCUGCUGGGUGUACUUUUCGUCCGAUGGGUCAGCGUCAGUUUUGGUCGCUGGAUAAAGUCCUUGGGAAUGUGGCAUCCUCGGAUGUGUUAUAGCCCUUUGACGCACGCAGCGGCUGGGAUUGAGGAAUUCAGCACGCCCUCUGGGGCUGGGGACUUGUCCCACAACGGUGCUUAGGAUGCUGGCGUAAUGGCUUUAAUCGACCCGUCUUGAAACACGGACCAAGGAGUCUAACAUGCCUGCGAGUGUUUGAGUGGAAAACUCAUGCGCGCAAUGAAAGUGAAGGUUGAGAUCCCUGUCGUGGGGAGCAUCGACGCCCAGACCAGACCUUCUUGCGACGGAUCUGCGGUAGAGCAUGCAUGUUGGGACCCGAAAGAUGGUGAACUAUGCCUGAAUAGGGUGAA